rnacentral:rRNA from 1 species
UAAGCGUGAAGUGAAGCACAUAAACCUGCUGAAUUUAAGCAUAUAAGUAAGUGGUGGAAAUUAAACCAAUCUCACGGUCAUCACGGAACGCGCGAACGACGACUCUGAUACGCUAUUUUAAAGUAAUUCCAUGAUAAUAUGCUUCCUAGAGCUCAGUGCCUCGUAAUGCGACCAUGUAUUCGAUACUCAAUGGAU